GACGAACGCUGGCGGCGCGCCUAACACAUGCAAGUCGAACGAGAGAUGAGGAGCUUGCUCUUCAAAUCGAGUGGCGAACGGGUGAGUAACGCGUGAGGAACCUGCCUCAAAGAGGGGGACAACAGUUGGAAACGACUGCUAAUACCGCAUAAGCCCACGGCUCGGCAUCGAGCAGAGGGAAAAGGAGCAAUCCGCUUUGAGAUGGCCUCGCGUCCGAUUAGCUAGUUGGUGAGGUAACGGCCCACCAAGGCGACGAUCGGUAGCCGGACUGAGAGGUUGAACGGCCACAUUGGGACUGAGACACGGCCCAGACUCCUACGGGAGGCAGCAGUGGGGAAUAUUGCACAAUGGGGGAAACCCUGAUGCAGCGACGCCGCGUGGAGGAAGAAGGUCUUCGGAUUGUAAACUCCUGUUGUUGAGGAAGAUAAUGACGGUACUCAACAAGGAAGUGACGGCUAACUACGUGCCAGCAGCCGCGGUAAAACGUAGGUCACAAGCGUUGUCCGGAAUUACUGGGUGUAAAGGGAGCGCAGGCGGGAGAACAAGUUGGAAGUGAAAUCCAUGGGCUCAACCCAUGAACUGCUUUCAAAACUGUUUUUCUUGAGUAGUGCAGAGGUAGGCGGAAUUCCCGGUGUAGCGGUGGAAUGCGUAGAUAUCGGGAGGAACACCAGUGGCGAAGGCGGCCUACUGGGCACCAACUGACGCUGAGGCUCGAAAGUGUGGGUAGCAAACAGGAUUAGAUACCCUGGUAGUCCACACCGUAAACGAUGAUUACUAGGUGUUGGAGGAUUGACCCCUUCAGUGCCGCAGUUAACACAAUAAGUAAUCCACCUGGGGAGUACGACCGCAAGGUUGAAACUCAAAGGAAUUGACGGGGGCCCGCACAAGCAGUGGAGUAUGUGGUUUAAUUCGACGCAACGCGAAGAACCUUACCAAGUCUUGACAUCCCUUGACGAUGCUGGAAACAGUAUUUCUCUUCGGAGCAAGGAGACAGGUGGUGCAUGGUUGUCGUCAGCUCGUGUCGUGAGAUGUUGGGUUAAGUCCCGCAACGAGCGCAACCCUUAUGGUCAGUUACUACGCAAGAGGACUCUGGCCAGACUGCCGUUGACAAAACGGAGGAAGGUGGGGAUGACGUCAAAUCAUCAUGCCCUUUAUGACUUGGGCUACACACGUACUACAAUGGCGUUAAACAAAGAGAAGCAAGACCGCGAGGUGGAGCAAAACUCAGAAACAACGUCCCAGUUCGGACUGCAGGCUGCAACUCGCCUGCACGAAGUCGGAAUUGCUAGUAAUCGUGGAUCAGCAUGCCACGGUGAACACGUUCCCGGGCCUU
rnacentral:rRNA from 1 species